rfam:Sarcoptes scabiei Contig17557, whole genome shotgun sequence.
AAAACGGUCCUUUUAAGGACCAUAAUUUUUCUAAAAGUAAAAAGAA